CACAAGCGGUGGAGUAUGUGGUUUAAUUCGAUGCAACGCGAAGAACCUUACCUGGUCUUGACAUCCCGGAGACCCUUAGGAAACUAGGGGUGCUUCCAUCUGGAAGAAUCUGGAGACAGGUGCUGCAUGGCUGUCGUCAGCUCGUGUCGUGAGAUGUUGGGUUAAGUCCCGCAACGAGCGCAACCCUUGCCUUUAGUUGCCAGCAGUUCGGCUGGGCACUCUAAAGGGACUGCCGGUGUUAAACCGGAGGAAGGUGGGGAUGACGUCAAGUCUUCAUGGCCUUUAUGACCAGGGCUACACACGUACUACAAUGGCCGAUACAAAGGGCAGCGACACUGCGAGGUGAAGCCAAUCCCGUAAAAUCGGUCUCAGUCCGGAUUGGAGUCUGCAACUCGACUCCAUGAAGUUGGAAUCGCUAGUAAUCGUGGAUCAGCAUGCCACGGUGAAUACGUUCCCGGGCCUU
rnacentral:rRNA from 1 species